rnacentral:rRNA from 1 species
GACGAACGCUGGCGGCGUGCUUAACACAUGCAAGUCGAACGGAAAGGCCCUGCUUUUGUGGGGUGCUCGAGUUGCGAACGGGUGAGUAACACGUGAGUACCCUGCCCCUGACUUUGGGGUAACUUCAGGAAACUGGGGCUCAUACCGGCUAGGAGCUCCUGCUGCAUGGUGGGGGUUGGUUAGUUUCGGCGGUUGGGGAUGGACUCGCGGCUUAUCAGCUUGUUGGUGGGGUAGUGGCUUACCAAGGCUUUGAGGGGUAGCCGGCCUGAGAGGGUGAGCGGACACACUGGGACUGAGAUACGGCCCAGACUACUACGGGAGGCAGCAGUGGAGAAUAUUACACAAUGGGCGGAGGCCUGAUGCAGCAAAGCCGCGUGGGGGAUGACGGGCUGCGCGUUGUAAACCGCUUUCGCCUGUGACGAAGCGUGAGUGACGGUAAUGGGUAAAGAAGCACCGGCUAACUACGUG